rnacentral:rRNA from 1 species
AACGCGAAGAACCUUACCAAGGCUUGGCAUGCAUUAGAUCGCGUCAGAGAUGGCGUUUCCCUUCGGGGCUGGUGUACAGGUGGUGCAUGGUUGUCGUCAGCUCGUGUCGUGAGAUGUUGGGUUAAGUCCCGCAACGAGCGCAACCCUCGUUCUAUGUUGCCAGCGGUUCGGCCGGGGACUCAUAGGAGACUGCCGGGGUCAACUCGGAGGAAGGUGGGGAUGAUGUCAAAUCAUCAUGCCCCUUAUGUCUUGGGCUUCACGCAUGCUACAAUGGCCGGUACAGAGGGUUGCGAUACUGUGAGGUGGAGCUAAUCCCUUAAAGCCGGUCCAGUUCGGAUUGGGGUCUGCAACUCGACCCCAUGAAGUCGGAGUCGCUAGUAAUCGCAG